AUUUUCAUAGUUUAAUUUAAAACAUUACACUGAAAAUGUAAAAAUAGGUUUUGAAAAUA
rnacentral:tRNA from 1 species